CUAUUUGGAAACAGCCUCUCUACCCUAGGGUAGGGGUAAGGUCUGUGUACAUACUACCCUCCACAUACCCCACUAAGUGGGAUUAUACUGGGUUGUACUUUUUUUUUAUUUUAUUUUCACGGGGCACCCACUCUCGGGUUUUGGGGAGGACGGAAUUGGAAAAGCUGGAGCAUUGUCAGAUGUUAUUGGAUAUUAUUUAGCUGCUACCUUUCAUGAUUUAACCAUCUUACCUUUUUAUCUUCUUUGGCAGUAGCCGACUUGCAAUAUUUCUUCUUGUGGCGUGAUAUGCAGAUGCUAGCAUUGACCAUGCAACAUCAGGUGAAUUUAAAAGAAAUCG
rnacentral:lncRNA from 1 species